GACAAAAACUGGAGCAGGUCUGGGACAGGGACUGGAACAGGGACUGGAACAGGGUCUGGGACAAAAAAGGAACAGGUCUGGGACAGGGACUGGAACAGGUCUGGAACAGGGACUGGAACAGGGACAAAAACUGGAACAGGUCUGGGACAGGGAAUGGAACAAGUCUGGGACAGGGACUGGAACUGGUCUGGGACAGGGACUGGAACAGGGAC